rnacentral:rRNA from 1 species
GACGAACGCUGGCGGCGUGCUUAACACAUGCAAGUCGAACGGAAAGGCCCUGCUUUUGUGGGGUGCUCGAGUGGCGAACGGGUGAGUAACACGUGAGUAACCUGCCCUUGACUUUGGGAUAACUUCAGGAAACUGGGGCUAAUACCGGAUAGGAGCUCCUGCUGCAUGGUGGGGGUUGGAAAGUUUCGGCGGUUGGGGAUGGACUCGCGGCUUAUCAGCUUGUUGGUGGGGUAGUGGCUUACCAAGGCUUUGACGGGUAGCCGGCCUGAGAGGGUGACCGGCCACGUUGGGACUGAGAUACGGCCCAGACUCCUACGGGAGGCAGCAGGGGGAAAUAUUGCACAAUGGGCGGAAGCGUGAUACAGCAACGCCGCGUGCGGGAUGACGGCCUUCGGGUUGUAAACCGCUUUCGCCUGUGACGAAGCGUGAGUGACGGUAAUGAGUAAAGAAGCACCGGCUAACUACGUG